rnacentral:rRNA from 1 species
GAUGAACGCUGGCGGUAUGCUUAACACAUGCAAGUCGAACGGACUCUUCGGAGUUAGUGGCGGACGGGUGAGUAACGCGUGAGAAUCUGGCUUUGGGUUCGGGACAACCACUGGAAACGGUGGCUAAUACCGGAUGUGCCGAGAGGUAAAAGAGAAAUUGCCUGAAGAUGAGCUCGCGUCUGAUUAGCUAGUUGGUGAGGUAAGGCCCACCAAGGCAGCGAUCAGUAGCUGGUCUGAGAGGAUGACCAGCCACACUGGGACUGAGACACGGCCCAGACUCCUACGGGAGGCAGCAGUGGGGAAUUUUCCGCAAUGGGCGAAAGCCUGACGGAGCAAUACCGCGUGAGGGAAGAAGGCUCUUGGGUUGUAAACCUCUUUUCUUAGGGAAGAACAAAAUGACGGUACCUAAGGAAUCAGCAUCGGCUAACUCCGUG